CUCAAAUAUCCACAGUGUUUUUAAAAACAAAGGCUAAUUAUUUCUUUCAACCCAAAGGUCCUGUUCCCUGGCAAGGGGUAAUUUAAAAUUCAGCUUACUCUGGUAGACAAAAACAAAAAGAGUUAAUCAGUGACCUAAAAAAUCAGCUGUUGCCUAGACACCAGUGACCAGGAGCCUUUUACAGUUUGCUGUUACAAAUGCUGUAUUGCACCAGGCAGUAAUGUCAAGGAACCUGAAACGAAAAUGUAACGGUGCUGAAAAGACAGAAAUGCUUAUUAGCUCUUCCUUCUCUGUACUAGGAAUGCACGAGCAGGAUGUAACCCAUCUGAUGAUGCAUCUUCAAUCAAAGGUUUGUCAUUUACUGAAGAGAAAGGCUCAAGGGAGCAGAUCCUUCCAUGUUUUCAGUUGGCAUGGGUCCACAGAACAGCUGUGCCAAUUACUUCCAGUUGAGGACUACCACUGGGUGUAUAGCUGCUUGUACUGAAGUUGUUGCAAUUACUAUCAUUAUGUUAUUUCUUGGCAAGGAAAGGAGAAAGAUAAGUGAGUGUCUGGGGUGCUUUGUUUAACUGCGGUGGGCCACUUACUCAUGCCAACCACCGAGAGCUACUAGGAAGCAAGCACAGCGAGAAGUGAACUUCUUGGAAAUUUCAGAUUUAACACGGAGCUACUCGUGUUAAUGCCAGCACCGAGGAAAACUAUCGCGUGGUUUACCUCCACCUGAGGAACCAUCUUGAUGACUUGCUCCAAAUGGUACACAACUAUUCACACACCUAUGAUCACAGUGCUGCGAAGGGAAGUCUUUAGACAAAAUGAAGAGUGGGCUGGAAGCUUCAGAUGGCAGCUAGGGGUGUGAAGGACUUCAGUGUCUUGUUGCUCGGCGUGCACAGCUGUGAGAGCCCUCUCACAUCAGGAAAGCUUCAGGGCCUCCUUCUAGCAAACCAACUGCCCCCAGUGCUCAGACAAACAUUGCAUUGCAUCUGGUCUGGAUGUUGCAUUGCAGCCAGUUCAACACAGCAUGUAUUGUGAAGAUGAUGUUUUCCUUUUUUUCCUCUUUUUGUACAGCAAAGCUUCAGCAGUUCCUGGCUGCAGCACGGAGGUACUGAACAGUUCACUGCAAUGCUCUGGGGCUCAGACCAAGCGUAGGGCAGCGCCACCAUCAGCAGGA
rnacentral:lncRNA from 1 species